rnacentral:rRNA from 1 species
AGUGAACGCUGGCGGUAGGCCUAACACAUGCAAGUCGAACGGCAGCACAGUAAGAGCUUGCUCUUACGGGUGGCGAGUGGCGGACGGGUGAGGAAUACAUCGGAAUCUACUUUUUCGUGGGGGAUAACGUAGGGAAACUUACGCUAAUACCGCAUACGACCUACGGGUGAAAGCAGGGGAUCUUCGGACCUUGCGCGAUUGAAUGAGCCGAUGUCGGAUUAGCUAGUUGGCGGGGUAAAGGCCCACCAAGGCGACGAUCCGCAGCUGGUCUGAGAGGAUGAUCAGCCACACUGGAACUGAGACACGGUCCAAACUCCUACGGGAGGCAGCAGUGGGGAAUAUUGGACAAUGGGCGCAAGCCUGAUCCAGCCAUACCGCGUGGGUGAAGAAGGCCUUCGGGUUGUAAAGCCCUUUUGUUGGGAAAGAAAAGCAGCAGGUUAAUACCCCGCUGUUCUGACGGUACCCAAAGAAUAAGCACCGGCUAACUUCGU